rnacentral:rRNA from 1 species
AAUAGAUACCCGGGUAGUCCACGCCCUAAACGAUGUCGACUGGUUGUUGGGGGUUUGACACUCUCAGUAACGAAGCUAACGCGUGAAGUCGACCGCCUGGGGAGUACGGCCGCAAGGUUAAAACUCAAAGGAAUUGACGGGGACCCGCACAAGCGGUGGAUUAUGUGGAUUAAUUCGAUGCAACGCGAAAAACCUUACCUACCCUUGACAUGUCCUGAAUCCCGCUGAGAGGUGGGAGUGCCCGAAAGGGAACGGGAACACAGGUGCUGCAUGGCUGUCGUCAGCUCGUGUCGUGAGAUGUUGGGUUAAGUCCCGCAACGAGCGCAACCCUUGUCAUUAGUUGCUACGAAAGGGCACUCUAAUGAGACUGCCGGUGACAAACCGGAGGAAGGUGGGGAUGACGUCAAGUCCUCAUGGCCCUUAUGGGUAGGGCUUCACACGUCAUACAAUGGUGCAUACAGAGGGUUGCCAACCCGGCGAGGGGGAGCCAAUCCCAGAAAGUGCAUCGUAGUCCGGAUUGCAGUCUGCAACUCGA